rnacentral:rRNA from 1 species
CCUACGUGAGGCAGCAGUGGGGAAUAUUGCACAAUGGGGGGAACCCUGAUGCAGCGACGCCGCGUGAGUGAAGAAGUAUUUCGGUAUGUAAAGCUCUAUCAGCAGGGAAGAAAAUGACGGUACCUGACUAAGAAGCCCCGGCUAACUACGUGCCAGCAGCCGCGGUAAUACGUAGGGGGCAAGCGUUAGCCGGAUUUACUGGGUGUAAAGGGAGCGCAGAAGGCUGUGCAAGUCUGGAGUGAAAGGCGGGGGCCCAACCCCCGGACUGCUCUGGAAACUGUAAAGCUGGAGUGCAGGAGAGGGAAGCGGAAUUCCUAGUGUAGCGGUGAAAUGCGUAGAUAUUAGGAGGAACACCAGUGGCGAAGGCGGCUUACUGGACGGCAACUGACGUUGAGGCUCGAAAGCGUGGGGAGCAAACAGGAUUAGAUACCCUUGUAGU